CUGCAUACUGGAUUUCAUCUGUAAGAUUGAUUCUUUUCUUCAUAAAGCUUUGAUACUGAUGUCAGGAUGACUUCACUAGGUUUCUUUUCGGAGCUGCUGAGUGGCAGGCAUUUGUGGAGGCACCUUGUACUCCUGAUCAUCCAGAACCAUGGAAUAGCCAAUCAUAUAGUGCCACAACUAUCAAAUAAUGGAACAUCAAAUAGUUGGUUUGGGGUUUUUUUAUGCUGCAUCUCUUCUUAUGUUGCUCACCUUUUACAGCCUUUCAAUUCAGUACAUUUUGUGGAUUAAGUUUUAAAAUUUCUAUUUCUGUACAUUUCAUUCAGUCCAUUUCUGGACUACUUAAAUUUAUCUUUAAACACUGAGAUCUCCACUAGAACAGUGUUUUCAACCAUUUCUUGAUUUGCCAGCUCCCUCUAAAAUGUAGAUUUCUAAUACACUGCUGAAUUCUCCCUGUACAUAAUUUGGUUAUAGUCCUCAGCCUUUAUAGUAACAGCCUCUUUUCUCAUGUGUUUUCUGUUUUCACUUUCAACUAAAAGCAUUGAGUUGAUUUUGAUGUAUCUGUUGUGCCAUUGUAGAGUCAUGUGGAUGAAGGAGGAUGGAGCACUGUAGCUUUAUUGUAUUAGUAGAAUAGACAGGGGCAAUUCAGAAAUUAUUUCUUUCUCCUCUUCCACUGUCAUCUAAACCCUGGUCCUUCACCUCAUUGUUGUGCAGCAUAAGUAUAUGUCUUCAGCUUAUGGCCUUCCAAUUUACAUUUUAUUCCUUUGCUUAGGGUAUUUUGCUCUAGGCAAAAAAGAUGUUUUUAUAAAUCCCAUUCACCUUUUUAGCCAGACUUUGAGAGGCUGACAUUUAAUUUGCAUAGGGGAAAGGGAUCAGCAAGGCAUCUUUGCAUGGCGAGUUUACGCACAUGUAUACCUAUCUGUUGCAUGUAGUUACCCAGUUCCAAUCCCCAGAUUCUGCUUUAUAUUCAUAUAGGAGGCUGCCUACUCCAGAGCUUAGUGGGAUGGGAAAGGGAAGAGACAAAAACAGGUACUAGAGCUCAUUGCCAGCUCUUCUAAAUGUAGCCCUUUAUGCAUUUAGCAUACAUUAAUCUUGUUUUCUUUGAUUUCGCCUGAGAGUGAGAAUGGAAAACUUUUUGCUUUUCUAUUUGUAAUAAUGAAGCUUUCCUGAUGCAGACAAUUAACCACUUUUUGG
rnacentral:lncRNA from 14 species